ACUUUUAUGAUGAAAACUUUGAUAGGGACAUCUGAUUUCUAUGAUUGUGUCCAUGAUAGUAGACCUGAUAAAAU